UGAGCAAUCUGCCCUUCUCAUCGGAAUAAGCGUUGGAAACGACGUCUAAUGCCGAAUACGACCUCCUUUCGCAUGAUCGGAGGUGGAAAGCUCCGGCGGAGAAGGAUGAGCUCGCGGCCUAUCAGCUAGUUGGUGAGGUAACGGCCCACCGAGGCGACGACGGGUAGCCGGCCUGAGAGGGUGACCGGCCACACUGGGACUGAGACACGGCCCAGACUCCGUACGGGAGGNAGCG
rnacentral:rRNA from 1 species